GAUAGACAGAGAGAUGGAUUUUCAUAGCCUCAGAAAUCAAUAAGCCUAUAGGUCACGAACAUAUUCUCUAAGACUAUUCUAAGAACUGAAUUGGCGCCACACCUCCAUGCGCUGGCCUCAUCCUCUGAAGAGGAUUUUAUUCUAAAAGCCACAGUCUAACCUGGAAACCAGACCAGAGCCCAGCUUGUCUCAAGGGGAUGGAUAAUGGACUCCCUGAGCGGUGGCAUCAAGCUAGCCAGCUACAGUGUGGCCCUGGUUAUUAAGAGGCACAAAUGUUGAGGACGUGGGAGACCUUGUUGCCUACUGACAAACCUUGAUCUACAUCUGUAUUGCCAAUUACUUGCUCAACAAACCUGUUACUUUUUUGGAAAUAAUAAAUAAUUCAGAGAAAAU